ACUUUUAUUCGUCAAUAAAUGUGAUUCGAAAGAGUCCACAUUCUUUUAGUAACAACAACUUAACAACCAUUUUUUACAUUAAUCAUCAAAAUGCAGGACGUUGUGGCACCAGUUUCAAGCAUAACGUUUGAUAUAGAAAUCGCAUUGAAUAAUCAACUUGGAUCACAACCAUUACCAUUUCCAGGAAUGGAUAAGUCAGGGUCAGCUAUAUGUACAUUCUACAUGACCACAACGGGCUGUAGCAAAGCCACAGCCUGUCCAUUCCGGCACAUCAAGGGGGAAAAAACUGUUGUGUGCAAACACUGGCUGAGAGGACUGUGUAAGAAGGGAGAUGACUGUGAAUUUCUUCAUGAAUUCGAUAUGACCAAAAUGCCUGAGUGUUUCUUUUUCAGUAAAUAUGGACAAUGUAACAACAAGGAGUGUCCAUUCCUGCACAUUGAUCCAGAGCAGAAAGUGAAGGACUGUGCCUGGUAUGAUAGAGGCUUCUGUAGACAUGGACCAAAUUGCAAGAAUCGCCAUGUGAGAAGGUUGAUAUGCCAAAACUAUCUAUGCGGAUUUUGUUUGGAUGGACCCAAAUGUAAAUUUAUGCACCCCACAUAUGACCUGCCAGUGCCGGACAUGAACCCGCAGACCAAGAAGCUGCAGAUCACGUGUCACACGUGUGGGGAGUACGGACACAAGUCAAUCGGCUGCCCUAGACACAAGCCAGGGGCAGUGAACACGUCCCCAAAUCAGCCAGACAACAAACUAUAUCCGAUUGGUGCAGGAAUGCCAGGCAGUGGGUACCAGUUUGGAAGGGGCGGCCAUGUGUUCAGACCCAUUGGGCGUGGCAUGCCCAAUAUAGACGAUCAAAGCCGUCUGGACCACGUGAUCUGCUUCAAGUGUGGGGCUAAAGGACACUAUGCCAACCGUUGUCCAAAGGGAGAUCUGGCCUUCCUUUCAGCCAGCACCACAUAAACUCACAGAUGUCAUACUCUCCAUGGCAGGCAUCAUCAACUUCAUUUGCAUUGACCUUAGACCUAGUGACUCCAAUUUUGAAAGAGGUCAUCUACUGUCCAAGGCCAAUGAACAUAAGAAGUAUCAAGCCAAUCAGUCGAUGGGUGAAGAGUUAUUGAUCGGAAAUGAAGUGGUCUACUGACAGACCAUCACCAACACAAAAUGUAACCCAAAUCGGAGGCAUAAAAACAAGGCAUGGAUAUUAACAUAUAUUACUCAUCAAGGAAAUAGAAAGUUUGCAAUUGG